CACUGGACGAAAGAGCGAAACUCCAUCUCAAAAAGAAAAAAGAAAAAAGGAGGGAGGGUGUAAGGAGGCCAAGAACUGAAAAACUAUCUGUUGGAUUCUGUGCUCACUACCUGGGAGAUGGAACCAAUCAAAGCCCAGACCUCAGCAUCAUGAAAUAUAUCCAGGGAACAAACCUGCCCGUGUACCCCCUGAAUCUAAAAUAAAAAUAGAAAUAAACAAGGAAGACAGAAAUAAGCAACACUGGAAAAAAUUGUAAAAGUUCUCAAAGAUUUUCCUCCAAAAAAGGUUCCAGAGCCAAAGUCACAUUUUUCGGAUUUUUUCAGAGGCAACACUCCCAAGGCUGUAAGACUCGACUGAGUGUUACAGGAAAGGUGGAAACACAUCCGUUUAUUUUGUGGUGCUGCCCUGACUCCCUUACAGAAACCUGGCCGGGACAGCGCAGAGCUGCAGACCCGUCAGACGGAACGGAUACACAUCAGUCUGGAUGCCACGGACGGUGCUCCCAAAGCAGCUCUCACUCUGAAAGGACACUCAGCAGAUCUGGGGGCUUCGGGUGUGAGAUGAGCUCUGUGUUGAGUGGGGAGGAACAGCUGCCGUGCACCACACUGAAACUCUGAGACCGGCGGGGAACUACCUGUCAUCAUUCAGAUCGACACCAGAGCAGCCUGUAAUAGAGACUCCGCGUCCCACACCAGAGCGGCCUGUAAUAGAGACUCCGUGUCCCACACCAGAGCGGCCUGCUGGCACAUCCCGGGCUUUCACCCCUGUAACAUCUUAAGAAGGAUGGAAAGACCAAUCAGUACAAAAAAUAACCUGAACAUGUUACAUCUGUAACUUGGGGAAAUUAGUUCUAAAGCUAUCAUUAUUUGCUAAUGAUACGAGUAUUUAUUCAGGAAGUCAGAAGGAGACAAUGGAAGACUUAGAUACAGGCGGAGCAUCCCAAAUCUGAAAGUCAGAAAUCCAGAAGGCUCCAAAAUCCAAAGCUUUGUGAGCACUGACCUGAUGCGACAAAUAGAACAUCCCACACCUGACCUCACAUGGCAGGUCACAGUCGAAUGCCGGCACAGAACACAUGGUGUUUUCAGUGCUCCCAUGGGAAUAAUAAAAUUACCUUCCGGCUAUGCGCAUAAGAUAACGGAUACCCAACCAGUAAUGACGGAGAUAAUCAAGGAUUUGAGAACAAAGCAAAAGCAUUCUCAAAAGUCAUUGAAAAAAAAAAUCAUCCCAGAAAUACCAGGGAAAUAGAUGGUUUUUAAUUUUUAAA